GGGGAUAUAGUUAAUAAUAACAACCGGGUUGCAUCUGGUAGAUACCUAAUGGGUUUUCCUCA
rnacentral:tRNA from 1 species